UAAGAAGUUUAUUAACGUGUCAAUGUC
rnacentral:sRNA from 1 species